GACGAGGUGGCCGAGUGGUUAAGGCGAUGGACUGCUAAUCCAUUGUGCUCUGCACGCGUGGGUUCAUUGUGCUCUGCACGCGUGGGUUCGAAUCCCAUCCUCGUCG